GCGAUAGCAAGAAGGAUACACCUGUUCCCAUGCCGAACACAGAAGUUAAGCUUCUUAGCGCCGAUAGUAGUUGGGGAUUUCCCCCUGUGAGGAUAGGACGUCGCC
rnacentral:rRNA from 1 species